UAGGGAAUAUUGGACAAUGGGUGAGAGCCUGAUCCAGCCAUGCCGCGUGCAGGAAGAAGGCGUUAUGCGUUGUAAACUGCUUUUUGCCAGGGGAUAAAAAGACCGUGCGCGAUUAAUUGAAGGUACCUGGUGAAUAAGCCACGGCUAACUACGUGCCAGCAGCCGCGGUAAUACGUAGGGUGCAAGCGUUAAUCGGAAUUACUGGGCGUAAAGCGUGCGCAGGCGGUUAUAUAAGACAGAUGUGAAAUCCCCGGGCUUAACCUGGGAACUGCAUUUGUGACUGUAUAGCUAGAGUACGGUAGAGGGGGAUGGAAUUCCGCGUGUAGCAGUGAAAUGCGUAGAUAUGCGGAGGAACACCGAUGGCGAAGGCAAUCCCCUGGACCUGUACUGACGCUCAUGCACGAAAGCGUGGGGAGCAAACAGGAUUAGAUACCCUAGUAGUCCCUGAGCGGGCUGGCAAGGCGCAU
rnacentral:rRNA from 1 species